GAUGAACGCUGGCGGCGUGCUUAACACAUGCAAGUCGAACGGAAAGGCCCAAGCUUGCUUGGGUACUCGAGUGGCGAACGGGUGAGUAACACGUGGGUGAUCUGCCCUGCACUUCGGGAUAAGCCUGGGAAACUGGGUCUAAUACCGGAUAGGACCACUUCAUGCAUGUUGUGGUGGAAUGUUUUUUCGUUGUGGGAUGAGCUCGCGGUCUAUCCGCUUGUUGGUGGGGUAAUGGCCUACCAACGCGUCGACGGGUCGCCGGCCUGAGGGGGUGUACGGCGACAUUGGGACUGAGAUACGGCCCAGACUCCUACGGGAGGCAGCAGGGGGGAAUAUUGAACGAGGGGCGCAAGGCUGGUGCAGCGACGCCGCGUGGGGGAUGACGGCCUUCGGGUUGAAAACCCAUUUCGCUAGGGACGAAGCGUUUUGUGACGGUACCUGGAGAAGAAGCCCCGGCUAACUACGUG
rnacentral:rRNA from 1 species